GGAGCGGCUCCGCGAGGAGAUCGAGGCGAACGCGGCGCCCGCGUUGCUGGAGGUCGUGGACGCGGCGGGCGCCGAGCACCUGGUCACGCUCCAGGACCUGGACAUCCGCCACGGCGACGGCUCCGCGGUGCUCCCGGGCGUGUGCAGCGAGGCCUCGUUCCGGGCCGUGAGGCCGCCGAGCAAGCGCCUGCGCCGGCCGUGGGAACCCGGGGCCGUCCCGCGGGUGCUGGUGGGCACCCAGGCCGACCCGGACGACGGGCGCCAGGUGCUGACGGCGCGGGGCCGCGAGGGGCGCUCCCCGUUCCCGGAGGUCAUGGCCAAGAGCCAGCGGAUGGUGGACCGGGUGUUCAUGCAGGCGGUGCGCGAGACGGAGGCCUUGGUCCCGCCCGAGGAGGAGGUGGAGUGUUGGGAAGUUUUCUGUUGUCCCCUGGACUCCAUCCAGAAAAAGAUGGCCCUGGUGGCAGCCUCGAAGCGCGGGGAGGGAGGCUAGGACUGGGGCCGCGUCGGGAACUGAGCCUGCCGGGACGCUUCUAACCCGCGCGCUGCCUCGAGUCCCUCCGGUGCCCAGGCCUUGUUCCCCAAGACCCACGGGUGCAGAGCAGAAGCGCGGCCCCAGCGCCCGAGGCCUGAAAGCUGUUCUUUA
ensembl:lncRNA novel transcript